rnacentral:tRNA from 2 species
GGAUGGGUUCCCGAGUGGCUAAAGGGAGCAGACUGUAAAUCUGCCGGCUUCGCCUUCGUUGGUUCGAAUCCAACCCCAUCCACCA